UAAGGAAUAUUGGUCAAUGGAGGCAACUCUGAACCAGCCAUGCCGCGUGCAGGAAGACGGACCUAUGGUUUGUAAACUGCUUUUGUAACAGAGAAAACUCCCGCUCGUGAGCGGGACUGAUAGUAUGUUAAGAAUAAGGAUCGGCUAACUUCGUGCCAGCAGCCGCGGUAAUACGAAGGAUCCAAGCGUUAUCCGGAUUCAUUGGGUUUAAAGGGUGCGUAGGCGGUUUUGUAAGUCAGUGGUGAAAUCUCCCGGCUCAACCGGGAAGCUGCCAUUGAUACUGCAGAACUAGAGUACAGAUGACGUUGGCGGAAUGUGUCAUGUAGCGGUGAAAUGCAUAGAUAUGACACAGAACACCGAUUGCGAAGGCAGCUGACGAAACUGCAACUGACGCUGAUGCACGAAAGUGCGGGGAUCAAACAGGAUUAGAUACCCCGGUAGUCC
rnacentral:rRNA from 1 species